rnacentral:rRNA from 1 species
UAGGGAAUAUUGCAAAAUGGGCGCAAGCCUGAUGCAGCAACGCCGCGUGAGUGAUGAAGGCCUUCGGGUCGUAAAACUCUUUUAGAGGGGAUGAGGAAGGACAGUACCCUCUGAAUAAGCCUCGGCUAACUACGUGCCAGCAGCCGCGGUAAAACGUAGGAGGCGAGCGUUAUCCGGAUUUACUGGGUGUAAAGCGCGUGCAGGCGGUCAGGAAAGUUGGAUGUAAAAGCUCCCGGCUCAACUGGGAGAGGUCGUUCAAAACUUCUUGACUAGAGGCAGGUAGAGGGAGGCGGAAUUCCGGGUGUAGUGGUGAAAUGCGUAGAUAUCCGGAGGAACACCAGUGGCGAAAGCGGCCUCCUGGUCCUGAACUGACGCUCAGACGCGAAAGCUAGGGUAGCAAACGGG